rnacentral:lncRNA from 1 species
UUGGUCACACUUCCUAUACCAUUAUUAAGUUACUGCCUCUCAGCUUCAUCUCAACUGCUCCACACAAGCUUUACCAUAACAGACAGAAUUCCUUUCAGCAUCCAUCCUUCACAGUGAGCAACACCACAUGGGGCUUUUUCAGCCCAGGCAUUUGAGGCAUAUUGCUGGAGGAAGGGACCCUCUGCUAUGUGCAGCUUCCUCGAGGGGCCAGCAGCUUAGGUGGGAAGACUUUGAACAUGGUCUUCCCCAGCCAUACACACAGAGCAUAUGGUCUCUCUGUCAAUUCUCAGCUCCAGUGUGGCCUAGCAUUAAAAAUAGAACCCCCUUUCAUAGGGUUAUAAUGAGUACUAAUUUUUAAAGUGCAUGUGUAAUCAGUAUGUUAGCAUGAAGCUCUCAUGGUGUGAAUAAACACUUUGAUUUUACUCCUUGCUGUUCUUUUAAGACUGCUUGGGGGAUAGGGACUGACUAGGCCUUCUCCUAUAUUUGGAUGAAACUUGAAAUGCCAUAGGGACUGUUCCGACACAGGACUCUGGGGGAACAUAAAAUCCUACAAUCACUUUAAGUCAUAAAAAGAGCCUCAAGUCAAUUAUUGAAAGUGUCCAUUACAUCCAUCCGUUUCGCAAUCUUUAUUCAAAAGUAAGACUUCUGUACCCCCUAUUUGCUAACUGUGGCUUCU